rnacentral:pre_miRNA from 14 species
AUGUUUUCUAGAGUUCCUCUGAGCACUUCAUUGGAGAUACAAUUUUUUAUAAAAUAGUUUUCUACUGAAGUGUUUGGGGGAACUCCCGGGCUGAU